GAGAGGGAGAGAAAGAGAUCACAAUGUGGACUUGAUCUCACAAUCAGACCAUGACCUGAGCUGAAAUCAAGGGUUGGAUACUCAACCAGCUGAGCCACCCAGGCGCCCCUAAAUCCCAUGUUUCAGUUAGAGUAAAAGGCAUCUGUGUUUCUUCAUUCUCAACUUCUGAUCAUCACCAAGCUGAUGGAAAAAGGAACAUAGAUUUCUUUGAAAAGAGGAAGUGGAGAUCAGAGUGACUUUGAGCCCCUGAGAUGUCGCUUGAUUUCCCAGUGAUAGAGGAGGAGGAGGAGGAAGAAUAAGAAGGAGAAGGAGAAAAAGAAGAAGAGGUGGUGGUGGAGGAGGAGGAGGAAGAGGAAGAAGGGGAACAAAAGGAGGAGGAGAAGGAGGA